rnacentral:rRNA from 1 species
CUAUGCGCCUUGCCAGCCCGCUCAGGUGUGCCAGCCGCCGCGGUAAUACGUAGGGGCGAGCGUUAUCCGGAUUUACUGGGUGUAAAGGGAGCGUAGACGGUGUUGUAAGUCAUUAGUCAAAGACUAGAGCUCAACUUUAGUAAGGCUAGUGAUACUAUAAUACUAGGGUAUCAGAGAGGAUUGCAGAAUUCCUGGUGUAGCGGUGAAAUGCGUAGAUAUUAGGAGGAACACCAGUGGCGAAGGCGACUUUCUGAACUGUACCUGACGCUGAGGCGCGAAAGCGUGGGUAGCGAACGGG